rnacentral:rRNA from 1 species
AGCUCCAGUAGCGUAUAUUAAAGUUGUUGCAGUUAAAAAGCUCGUAGUUGGACGUAUGGUACGGCGCGCUUGGCCCGCUCCCAUUGGGAGUGUGUUUGCUGAUGCGCGCUAACCAUCCUUCCAGAGAACGUUUCUACCCUUAAUUGGGCCGGAUUCGCGAUCUGGAUCAUUUACUUUGAAGAAAUUAGAGUGUUUAAAGCAGGCUCGUGCCGUGUAUACAUUAGCAUGGAAUAAUAAUUUAGGACUUCGGUUCUAUUUUGUUGGUUUUAAGAACCCAAGUAAUGAUUGAUAGGGAUAGUUGGGGGUGCUAGUAUUCAGCGGCCAGAGGUGAAAUUCUUGGAUUCGCUGAAGACUAACUUAUGCGAAAGCAUUCACCAAGGAUGUCUUCUUUAAUCAAGAA